rnacentral:rRNA from 1 species
GGAAGGUGCAAGCGUUAAUCGGAAUUACUGGGCGUAAAGCGCGCGUAGGCGGCUAGAUAAGUCGGGUGUGAAAGCCCUGGGCUCAACCUGGGAACUGCAUUCGAUACUGUCUAGCUAGAGUGUGGUAGAGGGAGGCGGAAUUCCGCAUGUAGCGGUGAAAUGCGUAGAGAUGCGGAGGAACACCAAUGGCGAAGGCAGCCUUCUGGACCAACACUGACGCUGAGGCGCGAAAGCGUGGGGGGAGCAAACAGGAUUAGAUACCCUGGUAGUCCACGCCCGUAAACCGAUGUCAACUAGCCGUUGGGAGCAAUUUGGUUCUUGGUGGCGCAGCUAACGCGAUAAGUUGACCCGCCUGGGGAGUACGGUCGCAAGAUUA